GAUGAACGCUGGCGGCGUGCCUAAUACAUGCAAGUCGAGCGAACAGAUGAGGAGCUUGCUCCUCUGACGUUAGCGGCGGACGGGUGAGUAACACGUGGAUAACCUACCUAUAAGACUGGGAUAACUUCGGGAAACCGGAGCUAAUACCGGAUAAUAUAUUGAACCGCAUGGUUCAAUAGUGAAAGACGGUUUUGCUGUCACUUAUAGAUGGAUCCGCGCCGCAUUAGCUAGUUGGUAAGGUAACGGCUUACCAAGGCAACGAUGCGUAGCCGACCUGAGAGGGUGGUGGGCCACACUGGAACUGAGAAACGGCCCAGACCCCUAGGGGAGGCAGAGGGAGGGAAUCUUCCGAAAUGGGCGAAAGCCUGACGGAGCAACGCCGGGUGAGGGAAGAAGGUCUUGGGAUCGUAAAACUGUUUUAUGGGGAAAAAAAAAGUGUGAAAGAAACUAUGCACUUCUUGAGGGACCCUAAAAAGAAAGCCACGGAAAACUACGUC
rnacentral:rRNA from 1 species